rnacentral:rRNA from 1 species
ACGCGUGAGUAACCUGCCCUUCAGAGGGGGAUAGCGUUUGGAAACGAACGGUAAUACCGCAUAAUGUAUUUUGACCGCAUGAUCGAAAUACCAAAGAUUUAUCGCUGAAGGAUGGACUCGCGUCUGAUUAGGUAGUUGGUGGGGUAACGGCCUACCAAGCCGACGAUCAGUAGCCGGACUGAGAGGUUGAUCGGCCACAUUGGGACUGAGACACGGCCCAGACUCCUACGGGAGGCAGCAGUGGGGAAUAUUGCACAAUGGGCGCAAGCCUGAUGCAGCAACGCCGCGUGAAGGAAGACGGUUUUCGGAUUGUAAACUUCUGUUCUUAGUGAAGAAUAAUGACGGUAGCUAAGGAGCAAGCCACGGCUAACUACGUGCCAGCAGCCGCGGUAAUACGUAGGUGGCAAGCGUUGUCCGGAAUUACUGGGUGUAAAGGGAGCGCAGGCGGGUGAUCAAGUCAGCUGUGAAAACUACGGGCUUAACCCGUAGACUGCAGUUGAAACUGUUCAUCUUGAGUGAAGUAGAGGUUGGCGGAAUUCCGAGUGUAGCGGUGAAAUGCGUAGAUAUUCGGAGGAACACCGGUGGCGAAGGCGGCCAACUGGGCUUUAACUGACGCUGAGGCUC